UCCGGAGUUAACCUGCUUUAUCGAGGGUUUUGUUUCUGGCUCCUCUUCCCCCUCCGCCACUGUCCUCCAAACCCUUGCGCCGUCCAAGCCAAGUGCCACUUUGUCCAAGGCGCGCAGCUCCUCGCCCAAGCCAGAAGAUCCAAAAGCGCUUUUGCCGCAACCUCCCUCGCCAAAUAGGCCCUAGUCGAGGCCGAGAAGGCCCUCGCGCUCGACCCCAAGGAAGCCGCCUCGCACCUCCUCAAGUCCAUGGCGCUUGACCUCCAGGGCUUUCGCUCCAACGUGCUCGACGCUGCAUUGUCCCCUCUCGCCGUGGGGUCCCUUGCCGAGGAAGAGAGGGGCAACGUGCUGCUGAAGAGGGCGGAGCUCAAGAUCGCGAUGAGCGAGCGGUGCGUUGACUCAAUGCUGGCUGAUUUGACCGAGUCGGUGAAGCUGAGUCCACGAAACGCGAAGGCAUGGUGCAUAAAAGCAGCAAUGGGCGUUACAAAGCGGUUUGUGAUUGUUGAGUUGAUGAUUGACGAAGGAAGGAGAGAGUAAGCGUACACUUUCUUAUGCUCUGUUAGCUUAACUACUCCGUCUAGGCACCAAUUCUUUGCCAUUUAGAAGAUUGCGUGGACUCGACACUAAUCGUCACCUUCAAUUGCCAAGAGGUGUUCCUUUUUGGAAUAAUGACAAGGAAGCAAAAAUCUUAUGCCUUGGAUAUGUCAAACCUGAAGUGCUUAACUGGUCUCCAUGAAUUAUUUUACUUCAUAACUUCCUGAGCAUGGAGGGAAUCAAGAGUGAUGUCAGGACUAGCUCUAGUAUGUUUUUGAAUUCUAAAGAGAGAAAAUAUCCUAUGGUACAAGUAAGUUAACAAUUUCACUUUCCCCUCAAGUCUUACUUUAGUCAUUAAAUCAGUGUAAAAAGCAUGGACUGCACCAUCUGGCUCUAUAACUUUUAUUUUAAUGAUAUUUUUUUAAUUUCUAUCUUUUUAUAUCUUUUUAAUAUUGACAACUAUUUAUAUCUUUUUAUUUCUAAUUUUAGUGCUUCCACUCUGGCUCUAUAACUUUUAUUUUAAUGAUAUUUUUUCCAUUUGUUUUCUAGUGCUCUUCAUCAUCCAAUUUGAUGCAGGAUAGAGAGAUGUUGAUGCAACUGACCUUAUCUCAUUCAUGUUGGAAUCAGUUUUCAUUACAUAGGAUGGCUUAUUCUUUUCCUCCUAUUUCCUUAUUUCCUUCUAAUAAAAUUUACUCUUUAAAAAACAUAAAACAAUAAAGAUGAGGAGGAAAUCACUGGAACAAAGCUAACCGUGUCCUUGAGAAAUGAAAUUAUGAAAGAGUUUUGUUAAAAUAUUGUGCCUACUAUUUUUAGACAAGAAUUUGACAACUUCAUGGUACAUUUUCUUUUCCCACUUCUCAUCUCCUUUUUGUCCUUACUAUUUGUAAUUUUUAUAAAAUUAAAAAGUUUGAGACUCUAAUUUCAUUUUUAAAAAAAUAUGAGCAAAUCUGGUCUAUACUCUAUAUA